rnacentral:rRNA from 1 species
UGAGUGGCGGACGGGUGAGUAACGCGUGGGUAACCUGCCUCACACAGGGGGAUAGCAGUUGGAAACGGCUGAUAAUACCGCAUAAGCGCACAGUACCGCAUGGUACAGUGUGAAAAACUCCGGUGGUGUGAGAUGGACCCGCGUCUGAUUAGCUUGUUGGCAGGGUAACGGCCUACCAAGGCAACGAUCAGUAGCCGACCUGAGAGGGUGACCGGCCACAUUGGGACUGAGACACGGCCCAGACUCC